AUUGAACGCUGGCGGCAGGCUUAACACAUGCAAGUCGAACGAGUGGCGGACGGGUGAGUAAUGUUUGGGAAUCUGCCUGAUGGAGGGGGAUAACUACUGGAAACGGUAGCUAAUACCGCAUACCAUCGGAUGUGCCCAAGUGGGAUUAGCUAGUUGGUGGGGUAAAGGCUCACCAAGCCGACGAUCCGUAGCUGGUCUGAGAGGAUGACCAGCCACACUGGAACUGAGACACGGUCCAGACUCCUACGGGAGGCAGCAGUGGGGAAUAUUGCGCAAUGGGCGCAAGCCUGAUGCAGCCAUGCCGCGUGUAUGAAGAAGGCCUUCGGGUUGUAAAGUACUUUCAGCGGAGAGGCGUUACCCGCAGAAGAAGCACCGGCUAACUCCGUGCCAGCAGCCGCGGUAAUUC
rnacentral:rRNA from 1 species